ensembl:snoRNA small nucleolar RNA SNORA9
AUGCAGGUCUGUACUGCGAGGGCAGGCCCCCUGUGGCUCGACCCUUUCCUGAAGACCUGCUACAGCCACUUGGGGUGGUUUGAGGCCUCGCUGUGUGCCUCCAUGGCGAGGUUAUAGAAACCUCAGACACAC